rnacentral:rRNA from 1 species
AUCAUGCAGUCGACGCUUCUUUUUCCACCGGAGCUUGCUCCACCGGAAAAAGAGGAGUGGCGAACGGGUGAGUAACACGUGGGUAACCUGCCCAUCAGAAGGGGAUAACACUUGGAAACAGGUGCUAAUACCGUAUAACAAUCAAAACCGCAUGGUUUUGAUUUGAAAGGCGCUUUCGGGUGUCGCUGAUGGAUGGACCCGCGGUGCAUUAGCUAGUUGGUGAGGUAACGGCUCACCAAGGCCACGAUGCAUAGCCGACCUGAGAGGGUGAUCGGCCACAUUGGGACUGAGACACGGCCCAAACUCCUACGGGAGGCAGCAGUAGGGAAUCUUCGGCAAUGGACGAAAGUCUGACCGAGCAACGCCGCGUGAGUGAAGAAGGUUUUCGGAUCGUAAAACUCUGUUGUUAGAGAAGAACAAGGAUGAGAGUAACUGUUCAUCCCUUGACGGUAUCUAACCAGAAAGCCACGGCUAACUACGUGCCAGCAGCCGCGGUAAUACGUAGGUGGCAAGCGUUGUCCGGAUUUAUUGGGCGUAAAGCGAGCGCAGGCGGUUUCUUAAGUCUGAUGUGAAAGCCCCCCGGCUCAACCGGGGGAGGGGUCAUUGGAAACUGGGGAGACUUGAGUGCAGAAGAGGAGAGUGGAAUUCCCAUGUGUAGCGGUGAAAUGCGUAGAUAUAUGGAGGAACACCAGUGGCGAAAGCGGCUCUCUGGUCUGUAACUGACGCUGAGGCUCGAAAGCGUGGGGAGCAAACAGGAUUAGAUACCCUGGUAGUCCACGCCGUAAACGAUGAGUGCUAAGUGUUGGGAGGUUUCCGCCCUUCAGUGCUGCAGCUAACGCAUUAAGCACUCCGCCUGGGGGAGUACGACC